rnacentral:rRNA from 1 species
GACGUAGGGCGCGAGCGUUGUCCGGAUUUAUUGGGCGUAAAGAGCUCGUAGGCGGCUUGUUGCGUCGGCUGUGAAAACCCGGGGCUCAACUCCGGGCCUGCAGCCGAUACGGGCAGACUAGAGUUCGGCAGGGGAGACUGGAAGUUCCUGGUGUAGCGGUGAAAUGCGCAGAUAUCAGGAGGAACACCGGUGGCGAAGGCGGGUCUCUGGGCCGAUACUGACGCUGAGGAGCGAAAGCGUGGGGAGCGAACAGG